rnacentral:rRNA from 1 species
UACGGGGGGGGCAAGCGUUGUCCGGAAUUAUUGGGCGUAAAGAGCGUGUAGGCGGUCCGGUAAGUCAGCUGUGAAAGUCAAGGGCUCAACCCUUGAAUGCCGGUUGAUACUGUCGGGCUAGAGUCCGGAAGAGGCGAGUGGAAUUCCCGGUGUAGCGGUGAAAUGCGCAGAUAUCGGGAGGAACACCAAUGGCGAAGGCAGCUCGCUGGGACGGUACUGACGCUGAGACGCGAAAGCGUGGGGAGCGAACAGG